rnacentral:lncRNA from 1 species
CAAUGAUGUUAAGCCAGCAAACAUGAAAACAAGGAAAUAGCACGAGAAAGCCCUUUGUCCUGUCUCUGAUUGCCGAAGAAAUUUAUCGUCUGAUCUCCAGAGGGGUUUGGAAGUGACGAUGAACUGUUCAAGCUGCCCUACUGAAAGGUAUCAAGGGCAAGAAUUUUUUAAAAAGCAAAGACAGAUUUUAGUACGUUGUGCUAUAGUGUUCUAUAAUGUAGUUUUGCUAAGAAAAAAGUAAUGUGACCCAUCCUUCUGCACAGUUGGUGAUUAUGGUAAAUCUAUUUUGCUUGUAAUCAUCUUCUUGUCCCAGAUUUCUUUUUUCUUUAUUUAUUUUAGUUGAAACAAUUAGGAACUUUGUUUCUAUAAAUAUAUUAAAAGGGAGCAAUAAAUUUUAUUCAUACAUUAAAAAGAGAAUGUAAAGUUCUUUAUACUCCCUGCAUUUAAAAUAAAAACAAAUGAAUUGUUGUCACUUAUAGCACCAUUAUCCAUGUUAAGAAUUAAGUGUUAUUUAUAUCUAUACCAUAAUAUUUUUAAUGAUGAUAUUGCUGCUAUGGAUCAUAAAUAGAAUUGAUCAAAUCACUGCUUUCUCAUUUUAUAGGCACAGUAGUAGUAGUGAAAAAUGAGUACUUCCUGCUUUCUUAUCCACAACAUUUUGUAAUAAAUAAAUGAUCACCUUUUAAAUAACUGGAAAGUAUUCACGUAACUUUUAAAAAUAAAAUCUAAUUUUCAUUUUGCUUGCUGAAGUCUGGCUAAUGUCUGUGUAAAACUGCCAUACAUUUAACCUUUUGAAGUACUUUUAUUUAAAACGAAAGAGUCCUAAGUCCAGUGACUUGGUUUUCAGUGUGAUAAAGUAGGAAAUAGCAUACACCAUUUUUUCACUGUUAGCCAGCACAUGGGGGAGAAAAUGGCCUAAUGUUGAUACCCCCUUCCACUUCCCCCCCCAGUUAUUUCUCUGUGUAGUUAACUUUUUAAAAAUUAAAAUUUUCUACAUGAUAAUUUGUUAUUUAGCACGACUCAUCUAAAAAAUAAAAUUUGAGUCUUGUAGCUUCGUUUGCAGGUUGGUUGCAAGUUCUUGUGUAUUGCCUCACAUUUUAGGGAGUAAUGCUUAAUAUGUAUCAUCUAUAAUAUUAGAAUUUCAUAUGCAAUGCAAAAUCUCUUAGGAAGCAAAGGAGUAUAAAGAACCCUGUUUUCUGCACUUAUAUGAAGACAUGUAAUAUUAGUUUGCUAGAAUAAAAUGAAAUACAGACACUGCUUUUAACUGGGAUGUAUACAGUAUAUAUAACUUUCUUUUAAAGAAAAAGUUAUUAAUGAUUCAUGAAUUAGACUACAACGUGGAAUUCUUACACAUUACUAUAUGUUUGAUGUAAAGAUAUUUAUAGGCUUGUACUUAAUAAUCACGUUGCCUCAGUUCUUGGACUGCAGAAUGUCUACCAUGACUGUUGCCUAUAGUUUGCUCCACAUUUGCUAUCUGGCUCUUUUAAAAAUGUGUAUUUGGCUAUUUGAUCU